UACGUAGGGUGCAAGCGUUAAUCGGAAUUACUGGGCGUAAAGCAUGCGCAGGCGGUUCUAUAAGACAGAUGUGAAAGCCCAGGGCUUAACCCUGGAAUUGCCUUUAAGACUGCAUCGCUAGAAUCGUGGAGAGGUGAGUGGAAUUCCGAGUGUAGAGGUGAAAUUCGUAGAUAUUCGGAAGAACACCAGUGGCGAAGGCGACUCACUGGACACGUAUUGACGCUGAGGUGCGAAAGCGUGGGGAGCAAACAGG
rnacentral:rRNA from 1 species